CAUGAACCGCUUCCUUCUUGGA
rnacentral:miRNA from 1 species